UUUUCUUAAAUUUCCACAUCAUAGCCCAUCAUCAAAGGAAGUCAGGGCAGGAUCCUGGAGGCAGGAGAUGAGGCAGAGGCCAUGGAGGAGAGCUGCUUACUGGCUUGUUCCUUAUGGAUGGUUCAGCCUGCUUUCUUAUAGCAUCUAGGACCAUCAUCCCAGGCAGGCACUUUGGCAACUGCACCACCUCCUCAACUCCUACUGUCAUCAUAGUACCUUCAUCCAGUAACUGAUGGAAGCAAAUGCAAAGAUCCUCAUCCAAGCACCAGGCUAAGCUACAGCUGUCCAGUCGAAGAGAAAGAAGGAUUAUAUGAGCAAAGAGGGUCAAGAUCAUGAUGGGGAAACUCACAGAGACAGUGGACCUGAACUUGCUGGAGCUCACGGACUCAUUGAACUAUAUACUGAAUGCAGAGACUGAUUUGUGGAAAGUUGGUGUCAUGAUAUUAUUGAAUCAUGUGAAUAACGUGAGCAUCAUGUGGCUGGGCCCAAUCCCAGGAUGCAUUAUUUAGAUUCUAUCCCUGAUGACAUCCAAUAAACCAAUCUUAAGGAAAG
rnacentral:lncRNA from 1 species